GAUGAACGCUGGCGGCGUGCCUAAUACAUGCAAGUCGAGCGAACAGAUAAGGAGCUUGCUCCUUUGACGUUAGCGGCGGACGGGUGAGUAACACGUGGGUAACCUACCUAUAAGACUGGAAUAACUCCGGGAAACCGGGGCUAAUGCCGGAUAACAUUUAGAACCGCAUGGUUCUAAAGUGAAAGAUGGUUUUGCUAUCACUUAUAGAUGGACCCGCGCCGUAUUAGCUAGCUGGUAAGGUAACGGCUUACCAAGGCAACGAUACGUAGCCGACCUGAGAGGGUGAUCGGCCACACUGGAACUGAGACACGGUCCAGACUCCUACGGGAGGCAGCAGUAGGGAAUCUUCCGCAAUGGGCGAAAGCCUGACGGAGCAACGCCGCGUGAGUGAUGAAGGUCUUCGGAUCGUAAAACUCUGUUAUUAGGGAAGAACAAAUGUGUAAGUAACUGUGCACGUCUUGACGGUACCUAAUCAGAAAGCCACGGCCAACUACGUG
rnacentral:rRNA from 1 species